AGUUGGUGAACAAUCCACAUAGUUGUUUUUGAUGAAAACAAUCCAUAUAAUUGUUAGGCUUGACAUUGCUUUUAAUUCUAACUUGACAUCUUUGUUUAGUGAUGCAGCAGCGAGUGCAUAUGCUCUCCUCGCUUUACAUGAUCUUGUCGUUGAUUAGUCUCACAUCCAACAGUUCAUUGAUUCACUUUGCUUAUGUUUUGUCGCAUUAUGCACAUCCAUCAUUUUUUUCCUCUCAGACAACUUGUUUUUAUGUGAAUCACAAUGAUCCAUAUUUUGGGUGUAGAUGCUAGUAUUCUGUACAUUCGAUAAUUCACAUAUUUGAUAUAAGAGC
rnacentral:lncRNA from 1 species